ACGGGUGAGUAAUACAUCGGAACGUGCCCAAUCGUGGGGGAUAACGCAGCGAAAGCUGUGCUAAUACCGCAUACGAUCUACGGAUGAAAGCAGGGGAUCGCAAGACCUUGCGCGAAUGGAGCGGCCGAUGGCAGAUUAGGUAGUUGGUGAGGUAAAGGCUCACCAAGCCUUCGAUCUGUAGCUGGUCUGAGAGGACGACCAGCCACACUGGGACUGAGACACGGCCCAGACUCCUACGGGAGGCAGCAGUGGGGAAUUUUGGACAAUGGGCGCAAGCCUGAUCCAGCCAUGCCGCGUGCAGGAUGAAGGCCUUCGGGUUGUAAACUGCUUUUGUACGGAACGAAACGGCCUUUUCUAAUAAAGAGGGCUAAUGACGGUACCGUAAGAAUAAGCACCGGCUAACUACGUGCCAGCAGCCGCGGUAAUACGUAGGGUGCAAGCGUUAAUCGGAAUUACUGGGCGUAAAGCGUGCGCAGGCGGUUAUGUAAGACAGUUGUGAAAUCCCCGGGCUCAACCUGGGAACUGCAUCUGUGACUGCAUAGCUAGAGUACGGUAGAGGGGGAUGGAAUUCCGCGUGUAGC
rnacentral:rRNA from 1 species